GUUCUAGGCAGGAGCAUCCUGUGACCUCAUUCACUGUGUCUCUUUAGUGUCCUCUGCUCUGUGAGUUUCUCAGUCUUGUUUUUAUGACCCUGACAGUUUUGAAGAGUACUGGUAAGAUAUUUUACAGAAUAUCCCUCAGUUUGGGUUUGUUUGGUGUUUUCUUAUGUUUAUUCUGGGGUUAUGGGUUUUUAGGAAGAAUAGUACAGAGGUGAAGCAGGCUUCCCACUACAUCCAGUCAAGGCUAUGUGAUAGGACCAUGACUGGUCACAGGUGAUAUUAACAUUGGUCAUUUGGUUAAGGUGGUGUCUGUUAGGUCUCUCCAUGGUGAAGUUAUUUUUUCCCCUUUAUAUACUCUUUGUUAGGAGCUAGUCAUUAACCAGCUCACAUGGGAGCAGGAGAGAUUAACCUCUAUCUCCUGGAGGAAGGCUUCCUUUCUUCUUGAGUUUUCGUCACUUACAUGUCUUGUUGUUGGGAAUAAGGGCUUUAAGAAUCAUACGAUUAUUUUCCUUUGAAGUGAUGUUAAAGUUAUGCUAUGUUAAAGUUCAGAAAUUUAAUCUGUACUGCAGUUUGUUUAGAACAUUCUCCAUCUUUUAACAUGAGCUUGUAUGAUACAGAGAGAGAGGGAGGGAGGAAGAGAGAGAUGGAUUUUCAUUUGGAGGGUUCUAAAAUUCUUGUUAUUUGUAAACUAACUCCAGUACUACAGAUGCAAUAACCUUUCCUGAGUUGAAAGCAGUUUUAGCAACUGCCUAUUGUAUCUUAAGAUAAGAGACACAAUAGUAGUUUAAUUCACAUAACUAUAGAAUCAUAGACUAGGGCUGGGCACAAUCAUCUGCUCUGGCCUUCUCCCUUUACAGAUGAGGAAACUGAGGCACAGAGAGGCAGCAUGACUUUUCUGAGGUUGCUCAGCCAGUCAGUGGGAACCUGGGCCUCCUGCUUCUCAGGAUUCUUUUGCUGUAAAUUCCUGUGUGACCUCCCCAGUAACAGAGGGAAUUUAUGCUGUCUCCCCUCACCCCACCCUCACCCAUUCAGGCUCUCUCCAGGGCCUCCCAUUUCUCUUUGUAGAUCAGGAAUAAGGCCUCUAUCCAGGCCAUACUUAGGAUAAUGCAGGAUUGUGAACACCCUCACACCUCAGUCCCACUCAGCUCACACCCACCACCCUGAGGGCAGAAGGACCUCUCAGGCUUCAGCCACUUGCCUGCAUCCCAUCCCACCAACCUCAGCUGUGGCCUGCAAUUCCUACAGUUCCCACAACCCUUCUAGUCAGGCUCUGCUACAGGAUGGAGAUGUUGUGGUUUAAAAGUGGAAGCUCUCUAGUAAAUUUGGAGUUCACUCUCAGAGACUGCUGUCCCUGCAAAAAGGAGGUCAAUUCCCAAAGACGACCAAGUCCUCUUAAAGCCAUAGAGGGACUAAGCAAGUAGGUCUUAUCUUCUCAAGAGGUGAUAUGACUCAGAAGUUGCAUUUGGGAGAGGAAACAGGAAAAACAUUGACCCCUUCCUCUUACCACCCACUUCCCCUGGGGUUAGAAAGUGAAGGGGUGAACGUCUGACUGAAUUUGUCCUGCUCAUGAAACAUGUCAUUUCUCCCAGUGAAGUUAAAGUGAAGCUUAAAGUCCCAUUGAGCUCCUAUGUUCAAAGGUAGUCCAAUGAUCAAAUUCAUAUGGGGAUGCUUUCCAGUGACUCCCUGGACAGCGAAGUUUACAGGAGGUCAGGGGAAGAGCUUUCUCAUGCCAGAGGCUAAGUGGUAUCCAGGGCUUCAGUCAAAAUAUCUGACUGGCUGGAUUUUUCACAUUGCCCAUUUGGACAGUCUUGGCUGCAGCUGGGGAGGCUACAGGAAGCAAAGCCAAAGGCAGUACGAGCCUCCAAGGAAGCAGCUGUAAUUGUGGCUUCAAGGGCACCUCCUGCCUGAGGCUUCCACAGAUUGAGCAUUUGAUGGCAUGAGUAAAGGUGAAUCCCACUCACCACCAGGCCUGAAAGCCAUUCCUAUUUUAAAUGGGAAGGUGUCACUGUGUGAUUCCCAGACCAGCAGCAUCACCAUCACCUGGAACAUAGAAAUGCAAAUGUUCAGCCUGAAAGAGAACUCCUGAAUCAGAAACUCUAGAGUGAUUCCAAAGCAUCACUUGAAACGUAGUGCCUUUAUGGCCUGAAAGCACUGUAUGUAAGAAAGUUUUCCCGAAUGUUUGGCUGAAAUGUGGUGACAUUUCAAUUCUAUUCGGUAAGCACUAUUGUUAGUAUUGGGAUACACCAUGAACAACAGACACUGUCUAAACCCUCAGGAUAUAGGAGGGAAAACAAACCAGUGAGCAGACCCCCCCCCUUAAAGAGGAGACAGAUGCCCUGUGAAUACCUAUCAGUUGGUUUGAUCUGACUUCUGGGGCUCAGCCCUAGUUUCGUUUCUUUGAGUGAAACAGCUUUAUGAGAGCUCUCUUCAGAGUUUGUAUGCUCUCAACACUGUUCCUAGCCAGUGGCAUGAAUAAAACAACCUAUACUAAUUGAAAACUAGCUGUGGGCAAACCACAGUAUAAAACGCUGCUGGGCACCAUGGGAGAUGGGAAGGCUCGGUCCUUGCCUGUAAGAAACUAACAAUUGAGUAAUGAAAAUAAACAAAAACUCUUAACUCUUAA